rnacentral:rRNA from 1 species
AGCAUAUCAAUAAGCGGAGGAAAAGAAACUAACAAGGAUUCCCCUAGUAACUGCGAGUGAAGCGGGAAAAGCUCAAAUUUAAAAUCUGGCAGUCUUUGGCUGUCCGAGUUGUAAUCUAGAGAAGUGUUAUCCGCGCUGGACCGUGUACAAGUCUCCUGGAAUGGAGCGUCAUAGAGGGUGAGAAUCCCGUCUUUGACACGGACUGCCAGGGCUUUGUGAUGCGCUCUCAAAGAGUCGAGUUGUUUGGGAAUGCAGCUCAAAAUGGGUGGUAAAUUCCAUCUAAAGCUAAAUAUUGGCGAGAGACCGAUAGCGAACAAGUACCGUGAGGGAAAGAUGAAAAGAACUUUGGAAAGAGAGUUAAACAGUACGUGAAAUUGCUGAAAGGGAAACGCUUGAAGUCAGUCGCGUUGGCCAGGGAUCAACCUUGCUUUUGCUUGGUGUACUUUCUGGUUGAUGGGUCAGCAUCAAUUUUGACUAUUGGAGAAAGGUCAGGGGAAUGUGACAUCUUCGGAUGUGUUAUAGCCCUUGGUUGUAUACAAUGGUUGGGAUUGAGGAACUCAGCACGCCGCAAGGCCGGGUUUUUAACCACGUACGUGCUUAGGAUGCUGGCAUAAUGGCUUUAAUCGACCCGUCUUGAAACACGGACCAAGGAGUCUAACAUACCUGCGAGUGUUUGGGUGGAAAACCCGAGCGCGUAAUUAAAGUGAAAGUUGAGAUCCCUGUCGUGGGGGGCAUCGACGCCCGGACCAGACCUUUUGUGACGGUUCCGCGGUAGAGCAUGUAUGUUGGGACCCGAAAGAUGGUGAACUAUGCCUGAAUAGGGUGAAGCCAGAGGAAACUCUGGUGGAGGCUCGUAGCGAUUCUGACGUGCAAAUCGAUCGUCAAAUUUGGGUAUAGGGGCGAAAGACUAAUCGAACCAUCUAGUAGCUG